rnacentral:rRNA from 1 species
AUGGCUCAGGAUGAACGCUAGCGACAGGCCUAACACAUGCAAGUCGAGGGGCAGCACAAGGGGCAAUCUGAGGUGGCGACCGGCGCACGGGUGAGUAACACGUAUGCAACCUGCCCGUAAGCGGGGAAUAACCCGUUGAAAGACGGACUAAUACCGCAUAAUACUAAAUUACUGCAUGGUAAUUUAUUUAAACAUUUAUGGCUUACAGAUGGGCACGCGCAUGAUUAGCUAGUUGGAGAGGUAACGGCUCCCCAAGGCAACGAUCAUUAGGGGUUCUGAGAGGAACGGUCCCCCACACUGGUACUGAGACACGGACCAAACUCCGUACGGGAGGCAGCAGUGAGGAAUAUUGGUCAAUGGACGAGAGUCUGAACCAGCCAAGUCGCGUGCAAGGAAAGAAUGUCCUUAAGUGGAUUAGUAAACUGUCUUUUGCGAGGGGAAUAAAGUGCAUCACGUGUGAUGUUUUGUAUGUACUCUGCGAAUAAGGAUCGGCUAACUCCGUGCCAGCAGCUGC